CCUACUUCAAGGAGUUGUUGAGAGGACUAAGUGAGAUAAUACAUGGAAGAAGACACUUGCGCAGAGGUAGCACUAUUAGAUGCCUGGAUUCACAGUUUCCUUAUUGGUUGUCUUCACUGGGUACAGUGUGUGAAAUACAGUCUGCUUGCAGUGUCCGGAUCCAAUUCUGUGAAAAGCUGGUAGAUGAGAGGGUUGGAGUCCCUGACAGCAGAGUGAAGGACCAGCUGAGAGCUCACAUCUUGAUCCACAACCAUGAGGCAGAGAACCACUCAAAAUGGUGUGAGUCUUUUGAAACCUCAAAGCCUGCACCCUGUGACACACUUCAACAAGGCCACAACCCUUAAGCCUCUGCAAACAUCUACCAACUGGAGGCCGAGUAUUUAAACAUCUGUUCAGUGCGUGAUCUGUGUGCACAUGUGAGCGACUCUUGAAGACCGUGUUUGCUUACGCCAUUUCUUCCUCAACACUGAGAAAGAAUAGAGGCUCUCUGCGGGCUGUGGAAGUGGGAGCAACGGGGGAUGUGAGAAUGUCCUUCUAGCAGGGGACACCAAGGGGUUGCUGAGUCACUUCAUUUCCCAGAGGGACAAUAGUGAAGUCACCACGGUCAUCAGGUCCCCAGCAACCUAAAGCUGUCGAUGGAAGGUUUCUGGGAAAAAGCACAAGAAAAAGAGUGUGACACUGUUUCUUUGAAGGGAAACUGUGAACUCACCUGUAAAGUGAGUGUAGACUGGUCCUUGAGUACCGCAGCACAGAAGGCAGCAUCCUGAUCAAAGGAGGCCAGGACGCAGGUGCUUCUCCCUACCAAGUUCCUGGAUGGAAGCAGAUGUUUGAUGAAAGUCAGCACCACCAAGAUAGCUGCGAGCAUUUAUUCUAGACUCGCUGCACGUCCAUCCUGGUGAUGAGGGAGACAGCAUUGCUGUGCAGAAAAGAUAAUGACCCUCAUUAGCAUCUCUGAUUAUUUCAUGAGAAUUGGCUCAUCCAAAUGGCGUUCUUUUUCCAAGGGUUUCAGAUUCUUCAUUGGCGGUACAAAGAAGCAACUGAAUCUUUGGUUACUGCUCUGAUUCAUAUUUGUCCCUCUUGGAAGCUGCCUUCCAUGUCAGGAUGUCUUGGCUGUCCACAUGGAGAUGGAGGCCAGGUGGAAGAACACCGAUGUGUCCCAGCUGAGAGACAGCACCAACUGACAGAUGUUUGAGUGAAGCCACCUUUACGUUCUAGCCCAGGCUGAGCUCUCAACUAAAUGUAGCCAUGUGAAGAUAUUGGGACUUAGAGAAAUUAAACUCUUGUCACAAUCCCUGGACUACAGAAUAUGAGCUUCAACUCAUGCCUAUCUAAAUUCUGGACCAGCUCAUGCUCCAGCCCUGCACCUCCAUCAUGGCAUGCCUUUCCUGGGUCAGCCCUGGGAGCCUGAGAAGCAAAAGAAAGAAGCAUUUCUGCUGUGCCUGGCACCCCCGGGCUGUGUUCCUCCUUCGUCCUCCAAGGCAUUGACUAUUGUGCAAGCAGGAACCUUUCAUCCCCGCUUCCACACAAUCCCUUUAGCUGAAACCAAGAGGCCAGAGCUUAACUGGAAUUCUGCAAAACUGGCAUCGAGGGGCCUGGCGGGGGCUUUGGGCAGUCACCCUAGACGUGAUAUGCACAGAGAGUGAGGCUGCUGAUGCUGAGCUCCCUGCUCAGUCCUGCCCAGCCAAGCCUCCUGAUCUCAGCUGAGCCCCUCAUCAUUUUCCUGGCAUUUGCUCAGUAGGAUUUAAUUUUCUAGUAAUAAAAACUCACGCAGUGUAGGAGACCUCCCUCCCCCCUUUGGAACCACUUUGCCACCUGCCCUUUGCCCCCUUGUGUUUGUGCUUGGGGCAGAGCCAGGUUGUUUUGUGCCCACUGUCAAAUUUUGGAGGCUCAGAGUGGACAGAAAAAUGCGUUCACACUGACAGCGCCUCUUUGCUCAUUCCUGGCAGCCUCCCAUCUCAUGCACUGAGAGUGCUAAUCCCACAGCUCGGCCCUCAUCUGUAGGAGGUGGCGUGGGAAGCCUGAAGGAAGUGAAUCACCUAGAGUCCCCUACCUGAGCAGCUUGGAUGGCUGACAUCUGGUUACCCCACACCUCUGCACAGCAGGCCCACAAUGCCUACCGAAUCAAGUGCACACUUGUGUGUGUGGUGUGUACACAUUGUGUGUCAGCAGCCAUGCCUGCCCGUGUGUGCAUGUGAAGAUGAGGUGGUUUCUUCCUCUUUGGGCAUCUUCCUCCCUCUAUUGCUCUACACCUGACCAUUCAUUUGUCUGUUUGCUUGUUUGUUUUUAAGAUAGGGCCUCUGACUGAACCUUGAGCUCAUGGAUUGGCUCAGGUUCCUGAAAACCCUCAGGACUAGCCAGUCUCUGGCCCCCACCAUGCCCUACAUACAUAGACUCUACCUGACUUCUUAUGUGGUUGCAGGGAAUCCAAAUUCAGGCUUGUGAGGCAAGCACCUUUCCCAGGGAGCCAUCUCCCCUGGGCCUCAGUACACUCUUCCUAAGAUGUGUUUAGAUCCUCCCCAAUUCUCUUUCCUUUCUCUUGGGGGGUUGGGGACAAAAUACAACAUGAAGAGAAUACAGCUGAACCUCCCCAGGCUCUGCGCCACCACAGCCAAUAAUAACAAGUUGACUUUGCAUAAACAUAUAUCGUUAACAUUUUUGGAGGCCCGUUCAGUGCUCACUUCCCUUCCAAGGCUUGCGGUUUGACAACUCCCACCGUGCACAGCACAUUAUUUAUACAGAGCUCGCCUUUGAAACAGAUCAAACAUUUCCACACUUCUGAGACUUUGGGCUUUCUGUUGUUCGCCCUCUGCGAAUGGCCCCUGCACCCUGCUUCACAUUCUCCAAGCUCUGAGAAAACCAGGGAUUCCUCUCUGCUUCCUUUCCCACUUGGUGAGCUACUUACUAUUUAAAGCUGUGCAGGGACGACUGUACCUUUAAGAAAAGCCAGUCUCCACAAACUCACACCCACCCCCUCACCAGUUGCCCACUCACUACCUAUUUGGGGAUCCUUGAGUCCGGUUGCCCCUCUAUCCAUCCUACCAGGGGCCACUUCUCUUUUCCUGGAAAUGAGUGGGUCUCAGACUCAGCUGGAGGCUGGAUUUGCUGGACAGGGCUGAGCUGAGGCAUCCACAGGGGCUCAGGGCACAACAGGAUGGGUCAGAACUGCCAGUGAGCUACCUUGUAGAGCUAGCUUGUGUGCAGCCUUUCCAAAUUGCUAAGGAGCCCCCUGUUGUUUGCUGGGCUCCACCUUGUCUGGCAAGAGGCAGCUGCAACCUCAGGAAUCACUAUAGCAGCAGAGAGCUGUGUUGGCAGGCCUCCAUAAACUAUUUACUCCUGUUCUGGGAGUGAAUGCUGGAGCCUGUGUGCUGUAUCUAAUGCUGGGCAUGUCUGAGGCUCUUCCCAAGACACGUGGGCCAGAAUUCCUGACUUAAUGAGAGGGUGGGCUGCAGGGAAAGAGAAAGACCCCAACGCUCCCAGCCUCCCCUUCAGGCCAGGCCUUCUGUCACAUCUUCAGAGGAGGGAUGCGCUUUGCUCUCUGGCUCAUGCCUACCCACAUUUUCAAUUAAAGGAGCUAUUUACAUGUUCCCCUUGGUGGGCAGUUAUUGCUCAUCUCCACUUUCUCACUGUACAUUGUAUCUUGUAUGCCACAAUUUUACCCAUCCAUCCUCUUGGCCUCUUUCACUCCCAGGCUUGGAAAACACCGAGAUGAGAUCCAGGAGGAGAUAUUUCCUGGACACUGCACAUGAUCAGAGCUGCAUUCAGCGGCAGCAAAUGCCAGGUAUUUUCCAAUGCCUUGGUUGCUUCUGAAUGAUCUUGGGAAAGAACAGGGGCUUCUAGCCUUGCUGAUAACACAUCUGCUUCCUCAAGCUCCUAAAACAUGGGGCAGUUGAAGUGAUUAGAAAACAGCAGCUAUUAGUGCCUGAACUCACGUGGAAUCUACCACUCAUCUAAUGUGACUUGAGUCUCUCAAGGGUUUACCCACCUGAUGGUAUCACUGUUGGGGUCAUAUUCAAGGAGAUGGCCUAUUAAGACUUCAUCCCUAGGAGAGUGUUACAUGAUCACACAGAGAUUGCUCUGAUCCCCUCUCCCUCCCUCCAUAUUGGUGACAUCACCCUGAUAGCUGGGGGGUGAUGGGCAGAAGGUGCCUUACAUGAUGUCUGAACAUUGCAGACCUAAGCAGCAUGUGGUAAGAGCAUACAGUCCUUCCCACCAAGAGGAGACUCUUCAGAUGACCAGUUCCUUUGCUUGGCGUUCACAUUGUGCUGGGGAGAUCGCACCCCAUCACCCCUCCUUCUGCCUGCUGGUGUGAAAGCAUCACUAGAGAGACCCCUUUCUAAAAUCAGUUCCUCAGCUCUGUAUAACUCUGCAAUGAAGCUGAGCUGGGCACAGACACCUGAGACCUCAUCUUUUGCUGCUAUGGGUCUUUGCUUUUUUCCCAUCCUGUGAGCAAAACAAUCUCUCCAUUCCCCCCCCCCCCCCCGAAGGGACACCCAGAAGCCCCACAUACCAGCUCAUCAAAUACAGCCAGGUGCAGCUGAAACCUGGUUUAUGCUUCAGUCGGGACACCAUUAAAACAGCACAGGCUUUGUCCAGCUCUCUAACGUUUACAGAAUCUGUUCACAUCACUUUGCUUAAUCCAUAAAACAGCCCCUGGUUUCACGUGGUGUCUUUGUCAUCAUUCUAUGGGGAGUAAAAUUGAAUCUCAGGCCAAGUUGGGGGAUGGGGUUAGGCUACUUCCUUGGAACUUUUCUGUCCUGGAAUAUGGA